GACGAACGCUGGCGGCGUGCUUAACACAUGCAAGUCGAACGGAAAGGCCCUUCGGGGUGCUCGAGUGGCGAACGGGUGAGUAACACGUGGGUGAUCUGCCCUGCACUUUGGGAUAAGCCUGGGAAACUGGGUCUAAUACCGAAUACACCCUGCUGGUUGCAUGACCUGGUGGGGGAAAGCUUUUGCGGUGUGGGAUGGGCCCGCGGCCUAUCAGCUUGUUGGUGGGGUGAUGGCCUACCAAGGCGACGACGGGUAGCCGGCCUGAGAGGGUGACCGGCCACACUGGGACUGAGAUACGGCCCAGACUCCUACGGGAGGCAGCAGUGGGGAAUAUUGCACAAUGGGCGCAAGCCUGAUGCAGCGACGCCGCGUGGGGGAUGACGGCCUUCGGGUUGUAAACCUCUUUCAGUAGGGACGAAGCACAAGUGACGGUACCUACAGAAGAAGGACCGGCCAACUACGUGCCAGCAGCCGCCGUAACAC
rnacentral:rRNA from 1 species